UGUAGGGAGCAAAAACUCCUUGGGCUUAUAGUUUUGAAGCCCAACGUGAAUGAGGGGAAAGGGUGGAGAAACCUCAGAUUUCAAUUCAUUUCAUUUUUCCUCCAUCAAAUACGCUCACCCCCUCUCUUAUACUCCUCUUCGCCAGAAAUUGCUCCGCCGCGCCGGAGGCGGUGGAGCUACCCUGAAAAACCUCAAACCAUCAUCAAUAAACUCAGCUUUUUCUCCUCUUUCUACUUCUCAACCUUGAUUUUAUUGAUAUCUGCCCUAGCCUCUCAAUUCGAACCUAAACCUCAAGAACCCAAAAACUCUGAACUAAAAUUAAAUGAUAUUGGAACCUGUACUUAGGUCAAGUCCAUAAGGCUUCUAUUUUUCAAUUCAAGAGCUGAAGAGUGGUAAAUAGAUUAAAGCCAGGCAAUGAAGAAUCAAAUGUGAUGUGCUUACCUACAAAGCAGAGGUAUGCUCUGGGAUAUGUUGGAGCGGUUGAAGAAGAAGAUGCAGAGAAAAAACCAGAGGAUGCACCAACAACGAAAUGCUUCAAACUUUAAUUCUUACUAUUCUCGUUCCUUCUUCUUCUUCCAAAAUUAGUCUGUAGGAACUAUGUGUUGUUGUUGCUGUUGAGUGAGGAGAGUAUAGAGAUGUAGAGGCUUAGCUCAGUUGAAGCAAAACUUCAAUGUGAAGUUUUGCUCAACAAUGGAGGAUAUUGAGAUUUGAGUGUGUUGGUGAGAUAAGAGGAGAAAGUGAAACUGUAGAGUGAUGAUGAUAUGAGAGUGAAUGUGACUGUUUUCCUUGAUUGAAGAUGAAUUGUUGUUUAUAUAGUGGGAUUCGAAAUUGAAAUGGAGGGAAGUUCAUAACUAUUUUGGUUUUGGAUUUGGUGUAGCAUGGUGAAAAAAGAGAAUUCAUGGCAUGGCAAUGAAGAUUUUGGUACAAGUUUUGAACAUGAAGAUAGCAUGGAGGUGUAUCAUGAUAGGAAAUGAAGAAAGCUUGGAGAUCAAAGUGGUAAUAGGUCUAGGGUUAAGUUUACUUUGGUCAUUUGUUUGACCAAAAAGUCAACAGUUGACCAAAAGUCAACCUUAGGUCAAAAUGUGAUUUUUUUGUAUAAUUUAUAUUUUGGCUUUUUAUAAUGAAAUUUGAUGUUGUAAUUGAAUAUUGGCCCUUUGAAUGUGAUUUGUAACUUCUCUCA